rnacentral:rRNA from 1 species
CCCUUAGAUGUUCUGGGCCGCACGCGCGCUACACUGACGGAUUCAAUGAGCUUACAACCUUGGCCGAAAGGUCUGGGUAAUCUCCAAAAUCCGUCGUGAUGGGGAUAGAUUAUUGCAAUUAUUAAUCUUCAACGAGGAAUGCCUAGUAAGCGCAAGUCAUCAGCUUGCGUUGAUUACGUCCCUGCCCUUUGUACACACCGCCCGUCGCUCCUACCGAUUGAAUGGUCCGGUGAAGCGUUUGGACUAUGGUUUUCUGAUGGUCCGCCGUUGGAUUACCGUGGGAAGUUCGUUAAACCUUAUCAUUUAGAGGAAGGAGAAGUCGUAACA